GGCUCAGAUUGAACGCUGGCGGCAGACCUAACACAUGCAAGUCGAGCGGUAACAGGGGAAGCUUGCUUCUCGCUGACGAGCGGCGGACGGGUGAGUAAUGUAUGGGGAUCUGCCCGAUAGAGGGGGAUAACCACUGGAAACGGUGGCUAAUACCGCAUAAUCUCUUAGGAGCAAAGCAGRGGAACUUCGGUCCUUGCGCUAUCGRAUGAACCCAUAUGSGAUUAGCUAGUAGGUGGGGUAAUGGYUCACCUAGGCGACGAUCCCUAGCUGGUYUGARAGGAUGAUCAGCCMCMCUGGGACUGAGACMCGGCCCAGAYUCYUACGGGAGGCASCAGUGGGGAWUWUUGCACAAUGGGCGCAAKCCUGAUGCAGCCAUGCCGCGUGUAUGAAGAAGGCCYUAGGKUUGUAAAGUACUUUCAGUCGGGAGGAAGGCGUUGAUGCUAAUAUCAUCAACGAUUGMCGUUACCGACARAARAAGCACCGGCUAACUCCGUGCCASCAGCCGCGGUAAUACGGAGGGUGCAAGCGUUWAUCGGAAUUACUGGGCGUAAAGCGCACSCAGGCGGUUGAUUAAGUUARAUGUGAAAUCCCCGGGCUUAACCUGGGAAUGSCAUCUAAGACUGGUCAGCUAGAGUCUUGUAGAGGGGGGUAGAAUUCCAUGUGUAGCGGUGAAAUGCGUAGAGAUGUGGAGGAAUACCGGUGGCGAAGGCGGCCCCCUGGACAAAGACUGACGCUCAGGUGCGAAAGCGUGGGGAGCAAACAGGAUUAGAUACCCUGGUAGUCCACGCUGUAAACGARUCGAUUUGAAGKUUGUUCCCUUGAGGAGUGGCUUUCGGAGCUAACG
rnacentral:rRNA from 1 species